rnacentral:rRNA from 1 species
UACGGAGGGAGCUAGCGUUGUCCGGAAUCACUGGGCGUAAAGGGCGCGUAGGCGGCUCAUGAAGGCUGUGGUGAAAGUCCGGGGCUCAACCUCGGAUCGGCCGUGGCGACUCGUGGGCUGGAGCACUGUAGAGGCGGGUGGAAUUCCGGGUGUAGCGGUGGAAUGCGUAGAGAUCCGGAAGAACACCAGUGGCGAAGGCGGCCCGCUGGGCAGUGGCUGACGCUGAGGCGCGACAGCGUGGGGAGCAAACAGG